GCAUUGGACAAGUAUAUUUACACAAAAUCAGACUGUACAGGCCAAAUUCUCAAGGAUGCUUUAUAUGGUGGCGUGGGAGCAGCCUUUGGUGUCUUGGUCGUCAUCAUUUGCACUGGACUAGUACUAUUCUUCCUGUACAGAUCUAAAACGUCAAAGAAGGACAGAGAGGCAAUCCUGAAUGACACUGACCAGUGGUUCGAUGAAGACAAAGAUGAUAAAUGGAGUAACAACAUUUCCAUAAAUGAUUCAAAUCAAGGCGAGCAAGGCUCUUCCCGAGAGAACUUUAGACCAGCCUUGGAAAAAGUCAACACACAAAUUGAGGUGAGGAUACAAAGACCCCAGAUAUCCUUAGCUUGAUCCAUUCCUAAAACAAUCAGUCCAACAGAUGAAGAGAAGAACUUCUGAAGAUUUUCACACCAUUGUGAACUCCAAGUGCAAUAAGAAAUUAUCCCCAGUAAAAGUGCCAACAUUUUGGCUAUGAAUGAACUUUUGGAAGAAAAAGACCUUUCAGAAGCUUUAAGUGGACACAUUAAUCCAACAGUUUGGGUGAAACAUGGAAGAACAACUGAGCUACAGAACUGGAUUUAUCUGUAUGAGAAGGAUAAAGAAAUCAUGGCUCCCAGAACUAUGACACCCUAUGUCAAUAUUUUAAUAAAAUGUAUUGCCCUCAUGGAGGAAGAAUGCUGUCUAAUUGUAUGUAUUUGUUACAUUUUAGCUGUACAGAUCAGCAAU